CAAUAGCGUAUAUUAAAGUUGUUGCAGUUAAAAAGCUCGUAGUUGGACCUUGGACCUGGACAGGCGGUCCGCCUCACGGCGAGUACUGUCUUGCUGGGUCUUUCCUCUUGGUGAUCUAUUGUUUCGGCAGCAGGGAACCAGGACCUUUACUUUGAAAAAAUUAGAGUGUUCAAAGCAGGCUCGACGCCGGAAUAUAUUAGCAUGGAAUAAUAAAAUAGGACGUGCGGUUCUAUUUUGUUGGUUUUUGGAAUCGCCGUAAUGAUUAAUAGGGACAGUCGGGGGCAUUAGUACUCACAUGCUAGAGGUGAAAUUCUUGGAUUUUGUGAAGACUAACUUCUGCGAAAGCAUUUGCCAAGGAUGUUUUCAUUAA
rnacentral:rRNA from 1 species